GACGAACGCUGGCGGCGUGCUUAACACAUGCCAGUCGAACGGAAAGGCCCUGCUUUUGUGGGGUGCUCGAGUGGCGAACGGGUGAGUAACACGUGAGUAACCUGCCCUUGACUUUGGUAUAACUUCAGGAAACUGGGGCUAAUACCGGAUAGGAGCUCCAGCUGCAUGGUGGGGGUUGGAACGUUUCGGCGGUUGGGGAUGGACUCGCGGCUUAUCAGCUUGUUGGUGGGGUAGUGGCUUACCAAGGCUUUGACGGGUAGCCGGCCUGAGAGGGUGACCGGCCACAUUGGGACUGAGAUACGGCCCAGACUCCUACGGGAGGCAGCAGUGGGGAAUAUUGCACAAUGGGCGGAAGCCUGAUGCAGCAACGCCGCGGGCGGGAUGACGGCCUUCGGGGUGUAAACCGCUUUCGCCUGUGACGAAGCGGGAGUGACGGUAAUGGGUAAAGAAGCACCGGCUAACUACGUG
rnacentral:rRNA from 1 species